UAAAAUACAUAUAUCUAUAUAUAAUUUGCAUGAUACUAAAAUAAGUAUUUCAUCAGAAUUGAUGAAAGCAGACCAAAGUAGUGUGUGCAUUCUAUUUAGUCAAACCAUACUUUUAAAAUAUUAAGAUAUCAAAAUAAUAAAAAAAGUCAAAGAAUACUAAUAAUAACUAAAUAAAAGCAGAUUCAUAAGUACUUAGAUAAGACAAAUUUUGUUUAGUAUAAAUAAAAUUAGGAAAUUAUAAAUAUAUAAUAUUAAAUAUAUAAUAUUUUCUUUAGUAACAAUUAAAAUAGAUUUUAUAAUUAAGAGAAAUAUGUGAGUGAAGUUACAUACAGUGUUCAUUAAGUACAUUUGUAAUAAAAGACUGUACUCAGUUUACUGUCAAUCAGUUUGAAAGUGACCAUGGCAGUGACUGGACUAAGAACAAUUACUUGUUUCAUUUUUUAUUUUAUAGUAGUGAUAAAUACCCGUAAGUGUUAUACGCAAUCACAAUAUACGGAUGAUUCCGAUUACAAAGAUUUAGAAUUUUACGAAAAUAUGCCAGCCAAUUACAUUGGAAACUUUGACAAAGAUCAUCUGGAUAUGGUUCAGGAUGACUUUUACAUUUUGAGCAAUUUCGAGGACGCAAAUAUACAAAAUAACGUUUACCCCCACAAAAAUGAUCUUCAGAUUCCGUUUGAAAAUAGUGACGAUUCUCUCAAGAAAAGAUCAUCAGUCGCACAAUUGGAGUGGUAUAAACCUGAGAAAGUGUAUCGAUACACGAAACAUCGAAUUCCUGGAUAUGACUAUGAAGAACUCGAUUAUAUGAUCACUAAAAAUUUUCAACAAUGUGAUGAAAGAUCCGUUUGGACCCAUUGCCUUUGUCAAUUUACUUGUACCGAACCAGAUAUGGUAGAUUGUUACACGCCAUGUAAAAGUGGAUGCGAAUGUAAGGAAGAAUACGUAUUUGACGAAAGAACGCAACAAUGUCUAUUACCAGAACAGUGUCUUCCAAAGGAAGACAAUUUUUAUAUCACAUAAUUUGUGUUAAAAUACAGAAAAAGUGCAAUGCUUUGCUGUACCUUCAAUACACUUUAUGUGACACGAUGGAAUACUGAAUAUAUACUAAUUUGAAUAAAGUGAUGGAAAGCAUAUUGCAAUCAGAAGCAGAAAAACAAAACAAACACAUUUCCCAUUAAUUAUCAACUAUCUCCCAAUACUACGAAAUGUUUCUUGAAGAACUGUAAUAUUAUCUUUUAACGAUUUUAUGAAAAUAUUACACUUCUUCCAAUAGGGACGAAAUAUCUAAAAUAUAGAUAUGUUUAGAAAUUACAUUUCGUUUCGUAUACGUUAAUAUGCAAGAAGCAUUCAAAAUUACCUGCCAUGACGACUGAUGUCCCAACACCAAUCAAUUUACGGAGGCAUCAUAAAUUCCACCAAAUCACGGAUACCGAAACAGAGUCAAAAACAAUAUGACAUUAGAGGUAUUAUUAAUGUUAGUAAGGAAUAGAACCAAACAGUUUAAGUAGGACAUAGUAUUAUAUUAUGCUUAGCGCAAGAUUAUCAGACUACAUAAAAUUCUCAGGAUUUAAAUUUAAUUUAAAAAGAAAUUGAAUACGAUUUUAACAUCAAAUAAAUAACAAUUGAUAAUAUAUAUAUUUAUAUAUAUCUUAAAUGUAUUAAUAAAAUGAAUUCCAAAUAAAAUAUUAUAUAUACAUAUUUUUCCUCCUUUUGAUAAUUCUUGAACAAAAUCCAUUGAAGUAUCAUGCACUGAAAGCACCA